GAUGAACGCUGGCGGCGUGCCUAAUACAUGCAAGUCGAGCGAAUGGAUUAAGAGCUUGCUCUUAUGAAGUUAGCGGCGGACGGGUGAGUAACACGUGGGUAACCUGCCCAUAAGACUGGGAUAACUCCGGGAAACCGGGGCUAAUACCGGAUAACAUUUUGAACCGCAUGGUUCGAAAUUGAAAGGCGGCUUCGGCUGUCACUUAUGGAUGGACCCGCGUCGCAUUAGCUAGUUGGUGAGGUAACGGCUCACCAAGGCAACGAUGCGUAGCCGGCCUGAGAGGGUGAUCGGCCACCCUGGGACUGGGCCACGGCCCAGACUCCUACGGGAGGCAGCAGGAGGGAAUCUUCCGCAAUGGACGAAAGUCUGACGGAGCAACGCCGCGUGAGUGAUGAAGGCUUUCGGGUCGUAAAACUCUGUUGUUAGGGAAGAACAAGUGCUAGUUGAAUAAGCUGGCACCUUGACGGUACCUAACCAGAAAGCCACGGCUAACUACGUGCCAGCAGCCGCGGUAA
rnacentral:rRNA from 1 species